rnacentral:rRNA from 1 species
UGCCAGCAGCCGCGGUAAUACGUAGGUGGCAAGCGUUGUCCGGAUUUACUGGGUGUAAAGGGCGUGUAGCCGGGUGUGUAAGUCAGAUGUGAAAUCUGGAGGCUCAACCCCCAAACUGCAUUUGAAACUGCGCAUCUUGAGUGUCGGAGAGGUAAUCGGAAUUCCUUGUGUAGCGGUGAAAUGCGUAGAUAUAAGGAAGAACACCAGUGGCGAGGGCGGAUUACUGGACGAUAACUGACGGUGAGGCGCGAAAGCGUGGGGAGCAAACAGGAUUAGAUA